UGGGGAAUCUUGCGCAAUGGGGGAAACCCUGACGCAGCGACGCCGCGUGCGGGAUGAAGGCCUUCGGGUUGUAAACCGCUUUCAGCAGGGACGAGGCCUUAUGGUGACGGUACCUACAGAAGAAGCAACGGCUAAAUACGUGCCAGCAGCCGCGGUAAUACGUAUGUUGCGAGCGUUAUCCGGAAUUAUUGGGCUUAAAGGGCAUCUAGGCGGUAAGACAAGUUGAAGGUGAAAACCUGUGGCUCAACCAUAGGCUUGCCUACAAAACUGUUGAACUAGAGUACUGGAAAGGUGGGUGGAACUACACGAGUAGAGGUGAAAUUCGUAGAUAUGUGUAGGAAUGCCGAUGAUGAAGAUAACUCACUGGACAGAAACUGACGCUGAAGUGCGAAAGCUAGGGGAGCAAACAGG
rnacentral:rRNA from 1 species